rnacentral:rRNA from 1 species
AUUGAACGCUGGCGGCAUGCCUUACACAUGCAAGUCGAACGGUAGGGGGGCAACCCCUGAGAGUGGCGAACGGGUGAGUAAUGCAUCGGAACGUGCCCAGUUGUGGGGGAUAACGUAGCGAAAGCUACGCUAAUACCGCAUACGACCUGAGGGUGAAAGGGGGGGAUCGCAAGACCUCUCGCAAUUGGAGCGGCCGAUGUCAGAUUAGCUAGUUGGUGGGGUAAAAGCCUACCAAGGCGACGAUCUGUAGCUGGUCUGAGAGGACGACCAGCCACACUGGGACUGAGACACGGACCAGACUCCUACGGGAGGCAGCAGUGGGGAAUUUUGGACAAUGGACGCAAGUCUGAUCCAGCCAUGCCGCGUGCAGGAAGAAGGCCUUCGGGUUGUAAACUGCUUUUGUCAGGGAAGAAAUCCCUUGGGAUAAUACCUCGGGGGGAUGACGGUACCUGAAGAAUAAGCACCGGCUAACUACGUGCCAGCCGCCGCCGUAACAC